CUUUCCAGAACUCGUACAAUUUGAUUCUUUCUCUGAAAUCACAUUAGUACCUGUACUGGUCUUUCAGGCUCUAGCACCCAGGCAGAGCGAUGGAGGCACACUCAGUGAGUUCCCAAGACCAUGGGCAGGCAGAGACACCAUCCUCACCAUCCUGCUAACCACUGAGAAACUAAAAAUGACCAAAAGAGCUGCUUUCUCCAGGCCGAUGUGAAGUCUUUCUCACUUGAAUUUCGACAUCCUGGUGUUGGUGCAGAAGUGCAUAUGGCUGUGUGGAGCCUUAUGGUGCUCUUCAUAAGACCGCAUUGUUAAUGUUAUUGCAAAUGUGAGUUUCUACAUGCCAUCACUGCAACUCUCACCUCAUCAUGAGCCAAAUGAAGGAACAAGGCAAAAUACUAAAAGAAAAAACUGAAAGUGAGCUGGAAUUAAUUUCACUGAAAUAAAUAUUUUUGUAAAAUCAGCUGUACAAGCUAAACUGUUACCACAUCAUCCAGGAAUGAAGAUAUACUUCUCCAAGUUGCAGAUCUUUUCUGUGGACUUUUCUGAACCAAUCAUGACACUACAUCUUCACCACACUUUCUCUUUGAAACUUAGGUGUAACAAAAAGAACUCAUUCUAUAGCUUGGGCCAUAUAUAAAUCUCCUGAGCACUAGGUUAAUACAAAAGUGGAAAUCAAAGUUUCAUAAAUGACUUACCAGAUACACGGACUAAAUUUUAUCUCCAGAUUACCACAUGAUGUUCAAAGUCCCCUUUGAAUUCCAUGGCAGGUACCUCCCUUAAAUGACCAUAAACACCAGAAAUGACCAAGUUCGCUUCUAACUAGCAACUGAACCACAGUCUGCUCCUAAACAGAAUCCUUCAGAUAGUAAAAGUGAGAUUAUCUGCACAGGUACUAAAGGGCUGCACCAGUUUCUAGCACUGGAGAAUCUGUCCUUCACAGAUUCAGAGGGCUCCUGCAGAGCUCUAUGCAGACCAGCAGUGGUGUAUAAUGCAUAGAUUUUAGAAAGCUAUCUGGGAAUUCCCCAAUGUGCCCCUCAACCACGAGGGUUACCCUGUCUUGGCUUAUUUUAGCCAAUUGUGGUCUCCUCUGUGCAGGGAGAGGGCAUCCUUCUAAAUACAUUAGUGACUCACCCCCAGCCAUAACCUACCAUUGUUGAGAAAAUGUGGUUGUUUAUGUCUGGGGAAGCCAAAAAAAGAUUUGCCAAGUGCUUCCUUUGGUAACAUCUUAUAUAUUUUAAUGACACAGCUGCUGCCAAGCCACGGGCUAUAAUGUCUCCAUAAUGAUGUACAGCUAGCUAAGCACAUCCAAAUCACAAGUGUGCCCUUGAACAGUCUAAAGGAGCUGCUUCCUCACUAUCCCUCCUGGAGGCAUACCAGUACUCUGCAUGUGCCCCCACCACUGGUCCAUAUGCAUGUCGCAUUUGAUAAACACAUUCAGGCAAGUGACAGGACCAAGCUCUUCUCAGGAGGAAACCUGGAAAAACCUGGAGGCUCCGGAGCUGUAGUUCUCAGGCAUGUUCUUCCUACUUUUUCUUUUUAUUUUAUUUUAUUUUAAUACAAUUGAAAAUAAUUAAAGGCUUCGAGACAAAAAGGAAAGAGAUUCUGUUUUCCUGGGCAUACACUAUCAUAGCCUUGCAGGAAAAUUAAGUAAAGAAAAUCUGCCACACAUUGGCGUAGAAGGGAGAGCCCCCAGUCCUGUGGCCUGGGAGAGGAAAAUG